AUGAACGCUAGCGACAGGCCUAACACAUGCAAGUCGAGGGGCAGCACAAGGAGCAAUCUGAGGUGGCGACCGGCGCACGGGUGAGUAACACGUAUGCAACCUGCCUGUAAGCGGGGAAUAACCCGUUGAAAGACGGACUAAUACCGCAUAAUACUAAAUUACUGCAUGGUAAUUUAUUUAAACAUUUAUGGCUUACAGAUGGGCAUGCGCAUGAUUAGCUAGUUGGAGAGGUAACGGCUCCCCAAGGCAACGAUCAUUAGGGGUUCUGAGAGGAAGGUCCCCCCACACUGGUACUGAGACACGGACCAGACUCCUACGGGAGGCAGCAGUGAGGAAUAUUGGUCAAUGGACGAGAGUCUGAACCAGCCAAGUCGCGUGCAGGAAGAAUGUCCUAUGGAUUGUAAACUGCUUUUGCAGGGGAAUAAAGUGCAUCACGUGUGAUGUUUUGUAUGUACUCUGCGAAUAGGGAUCGGCUAACUCCGUGCCAGCCGCCGC
rnacentral:rRNA from 1 species